rnacentral:rRNA from 1 species
AGAGUUUGAUCAUGGCUCAGAACGAACGCUGGCGGCGUGCCUAACACAUGCAAUUCGAACGGGAUCAGGGGGCUUGCUCCUUGAUUUAGUGCACGGGUGAGUAACGCGUGAAUAAUCUACCUUCUAAUCUGUGAACAACACACCGAAAGGUGUGCUAAUACCGGAUAAUAUCUUUUGCCCUUCGGUGUAGAAGAUCAAAGAUGGCCUCUUCUUGAAAGCCGUUGUUUGGAGAUGAGUUCGCGUACCAUUAGCUAGUUGGUGGGGUAAAGGCCUACCAAGGCUACGAUGGUUAGCUGGUCUGAGAGGAUGACCAGUCACACUGGAACUGAGACACGGUCCAGACUCCUACGGGAGGCAGCAGUGAGGAAUCUUGCGCAAUGGGGGAAACCCUGACGCAGCAACGCCGCGUGAGUGAUGAAGGCUCUUGGGUCGUAAAGCUCUGUCAAUAGGGAAGAAAUCAAUUAUGGUUAAUAUCCAUAGUUGUUGACGGUACCUAUGAAGGAAGCACCGGCUAACUCCGUGCCAGCAGCCGCGGUAAUACGGGGGGUGCAAGCGUUAAUCGGAAUUACUGGGCGUAAAGCGCGCGUAGGCGGCCAAGCAAGUCAGAUGUGAAAGCCCACGGCUCAACCGUGGAAGUGCAUUUGAAACUGCUUGGCUUGAGUAUCAGAGGGGAAAGUGGAAUUCCCGGUGUAGAGGUGAAAUUCGUAGAUAUCGGGAGGAAUACCGGUGGCGAAGGCGACUUUCUGGCAAUACUGACGCUGAGGCGCGAAAGCGUGGGGCGUGGGAGCAAACAGGAUUAGAUACCCUGGUAGUCCACGCCGUAAACGAUGUCAACUAGGUGCAGGGGGUGUUGAUCCCCUCUGUGUCGCAGCUAACGCAUUAAGUUGACCGCCUGGGGAGUACGGUCGCAAGAUUAAAACUCAAAGGAAUUGACGGGGGCCCGCACAAGCGGUGGAGUAUGUGGUUUAAUUCGAUGCAACGCGAAGAACCUUACCUGUCUUGACAUCCCGAGCCCUAGAGAUAUUUAAGUGCUCUCUUUGAGAGAAUUUGGUGACAGGUGCUGCAUGGCUGUCGUCAGCUCGUGUCGUGAGAUGUUGGGUUAAGUCCCGCAACGAGCGCAACCCUCGCCAUUAGUUGCCAGCAUUAAGUUGGGCACUCUAAUGGGACUGCCGGUGUCAAACCGGAGGAAGGCGGGGAUGACGUCAAGUCCUCAUGGCCUUUAUGACCAGGGCUACACACGUACUACAAUGGCCGGUACAACGGGCAGCCACUUCGCGAGAAGGAGCAAAUCCCUAAAAGCCGGUCUCAGUCCGCAUUGGAGUCUGCAACUCGACUCCAUGAAGUUGGAAUCGCUAGUAAUCGUGGAUCAGCAUGCCGCGGUGAAUACGUUCCCGGGCCUUGUACACACCGCCCGUCACACCACGGGAGUUGUUUGUACCAGAAGCGGUUGAGCUAACCUUCGGGAGGCGCAGCGUCCUAAGGAAUGGUCGGUGACUGGGGUGAAGUCGUAACAAGGUAACCGUA